rnacentral:lncRNA from 1 species
AAUCAUUUCAUUUCUCAAAAGUUCUAACCCCUCGCCGUAAAACCUAAAUAAUUUCUCAUAAAAUAAUAAUAAGAAUAAGCUGUAUUAGAAAUCAUACUCAAGAUGAAAAUCCAUAGAAGUAUACCAUGCCAAAUCCUCUCUAAGUGGCCGGCCUCCUUGUAGAGAAAAGAGAGAAAAUGUUUCACCUCUUUGCCUCAAAGAAAAACCCUAAUGAGAAAAUAGCUAUAAAGUUAACUUUAUACUACAUCACAUUUGAGUGGCAAACUUGUAAUUAAUUCAAGUUUGCAUCCACUCUCCCUUAUGGCCGGCCUUGUCAUUGUUAUUGGGCUAAUUGCCCAUUUUGUUUUAGUUGUCAUACAACUUAAACAUAAUGGGCUUUGUGGGCCAAAA